rnacentral:rRNA from 1 species
CGGAACGGCAUGGGAGGGCCGGCCGCAGCGGGUGACAGCCCCGUACGCGAACCCAGACCGGACGGCGCGACGCGGUCCCUGAGUAGGGCCGGGCACGUGAAACCCGGUCCGAACCUGGGUGGACCACCAUCCAAGCCUGAGUACUACCCUGUGACCGAUAGCGCACCAGUACCGUGAGGGAAAGGUGAAAAGCACCCCGGGAGGGGAGUGAAACAGUACCUGAAACCGUGCGCCCACGAGCAGUCGGAGCACCUAUAUGGUGUGACGGCGUGCCUUUUGUAGAAUGAGCCAGCGAGUCGCUGGCGCGGGGCGAGGUUAACCGAAAGGGAGCCGGAGCGAAAGCGAGCCUUAACAGGGCGACUUGAGUCCCGCGCCGCGGACGCGAAGCCGGGUGAGCUAUCCGUGGGCAGGCUGAAGCGGGGGUAAGACCCCGUGGAGGGCCGAACGCACGUCGGUUGAAAACGGCGGCGAUGACCUGCGGAUAGGGGUGAAAGGCCAAUCAAACCCGGAGAUAUCUCGUUCUCCCCGAAAUAGCUUUAGGGCUAGCGUCGCGCGUUCACCGCCGGAGGUAGAGCACCGGAUGGACGAGGGGGCUUCGCCGCCUACCGAAUCCAACCGAACUCCGAAUGCCGGCGGCCCAGAGCGCGGCAGUCAGAGCAUGUGGGCUAAGCUGUGUGCUCGAGAGGGAAACAGCCCGGACCGCCCGCUAAGGUCCCCAAGUUCCAGCCGAGUGGCAAAGGAUGUGCGUCCGCCCAGACAACCAGGAUGUUGGCUUAGAAGCAGCCAUCCAUUCAAAGAGUGCGUAACAGCUCACUGGUCGAGUGGACAUGCGCCGACAAUACACGGGGCUAAGCUGGACACCGAAGCGGCGGGAUUUUACCUAAGUAGAAUCGGUAGGGGAGCUUCCCAUGGGCGGAGAAGCCGGAGGGCGACCGACGGUGGAGCGCAUGGGAGUGAGAAUGCUGGCAUGAGUAGCGAGAGACGAGAGAGUAACUCGUCCGCCGUGAACCCGAGGUUUCCUGGGCAAGGCUAAUCCUCCCAGGGUCAGUCGGGGGCUAAGGCGAGGCCGGGAGGCGUAGCCGACGCGCAGCAGGCAGACAUUCCUGCACCGCGCACGCGGCGCUACGACCGACGGGGCGACGGAUGGGGGUGGCUCGGCGGGGUUCUGGACGUCCCCGUGAUGGAGCGCGGCCCGCGGACCAGGGAAAUCCGGUCCGCAUCGAGGGCGAGGCUCCGGACGAAGCGACUGAGCGAAGCGAGUGAGCCCGAGGUCCCUAGAAAAACCCCUAGGCAGGCGCGUGCGCGCCCGUACCGCAAACCGACACAGGUGGGUGGGUAGAACAUACCGAGGCGAUCGGGUCAACCAUGGUCAAGGAACUCGGCACAAUGGCCCCGUAACUUCGGGAGAAGGGGUGCCCGCGCGUACGUGAACCGGCUCGCCCGGGGAGCGGAGGCGGGCCGCAGUGGAGAGGCCCAAGCGACUGUUUACCAAAAACACAGGACUCUGCAGAAGCCGCAAGGCGACGUAUAGGGUCUGACGCCUGCCCGGUGCCGGAAGGUCACGCGGAGGAGUUAGCCAUUUCGGCGAAGCCCCGAAGCCAAGCCCCGGUAAACGGCGGCCGUAACUAUAACGGUCCUAAGGUAGCGAAAUUCCUUGUCGGGUAAGUUCCGACCUGCACGAAAGGCGCAACGACUUGGGCGCUGUCUCGACCAUGGACCCGGUGAAAUUGCACUGGUCGUGAAGAUGCGACUUACCCGCGGAAGGACGGAAAGACCCCGUGAACCUUCACUGCAGCUUGGCAUUGGCCGCUGGUCCCGCGUGUAGAGGAUAGGCAGGAGGCAUCGAUCCGGAGGCGCCAGCCCCCGGGGAGCCGCCCUUGGAAUACUGCCCUCGCGCGACCGGCGUCCUAACCCGAGGCCGUCAACCGGCUCGGGGACCGUGCCAGGCGGGCAGUUUGACUGGGGCGGUCGCCUCCUAAAGGGUAACGGAGGCGCGCGAAGGUCCGCUCGGGACGGUCGGCAACCGUCCUUUUGAAUGCAAGAGUACAAGCGGGCUUGACUGCGAGGCCCACAAGCCGAGCAGGUGCGAAAGCAGGCUCUAGUGAUCCGGCGGCCCCGAGUGGGUGGGCCGUCGCUCAACGGAUAAAAGGUACUCCGGGGAUAACAGGCUGAUCUUGCCCAAGAGUCCACAUCGACGGCAAGGUUUGGCACCUCGAUGUCGGCUCAUCGCAUCCUGGGGCUGA